CAGUAGCCGCGGUAAUACGAAGGGGGCUAGCGUUGUUCGGAUUUACUGGGCGUAAAGCGCACGUAGGCGGAUCGAUCAGUCAGGGGUGAAAUCCCAGAGCUCAACUCUGGAACUGCCUUUGAUACUGUCGAUCUGGAGUAUGGAAGAGGUGUGUGGAAUUCCGAGUGUAGAGGUGAAAUUCGUAGAUAUUGGGAAGAACACCAGUGGCGAAGGCGGCUCACUGGACCGACACUGACGCUGAGGCGCGAAAGCGUGGGGAGCAAACAGGAUUAGAUACCCGAGUAGUCCCUGUCUCUUAUAC
rnacentral:rRNA from 1 species